rnacentral:ncRNA from 10 species
GUACUGCAUUAAGAACGUUAUAGACGUACCAACCGACAAACUCAUUGCACGGUGGUUUUGAAUGCGGGUGUCUCUACCAAAAUAAUGAGAAAU